rnacentral:sRNA from 1 species
CUUAGCAAGGAUGUUUACCAACAAACACCUUGGGCUAGCCCUGGUACAGGAGCCAUGGGUCAACAAUGGCAUUAAAGGCCUGUGCACGGCCGACUCGAAGUGGUGCUGAGCAAAGGCAGCGCGGUCUCUACGGCUAUUGUGUCUGCGUACUUCGCAGGUGAUGAAGCAUGCCCACCACCAAUUAUAGAGAAACCGGUGGAUUACUGCAGGAGAGAGAGAGGAUCUCAGUACUCAUCGGAUGCGAUGCCAAUGCGCACCACACGAUAUGCGGCAACAUCGACGUCAAUUUAAGGGGUGUGGAAUCAAAAAA